GCGAGCGGGGGGCGGGCGGCGCUCGGUCUGGGGAGCGGGGCGGGCUCCGCCGGCGUCGCGCGCGCUGUGUGUGAGCGGGGUCGCGCGCGCGCGGCAGGCGAGUGAGGGAGCGAGGAGCGGCCGGGUGCGGGUGUGUGGCGUGGGGUGAGGGCGAGGCUGAAGGGCCGCGGGGCUGUGAGGAACCCGGCGAGCGUGCGAGGACGCCCGGCCCGGCCGCAGGAGCCGCGGGCGGCGGCGGAGAAAGGAGGCGGCUCCCGGAACGCCGGCCCCUCCCCCUCCUCCCCGGCCCCACUCCCAGCCGUGCGGCGGCCCGCGCUUCCUCGGAGGCCGCAGCUGGGCUCCGCCGGCCGAGAGCGAGGGAGGCGCCCCGCGAGCCAGAUAGACAUUACAUCUCAGAGGAAAUAAUCCAGGCAAGGAAGCACAAGCUGAUCAAGAUGUGUAGCUCUGUGGCUGCCAAGUUGUGGUUUUUGACAGAUCGUCGCAUCAGGGAAGACUAUCCUCAAAAAGAGAUUUUACGAGCAUUGAAGGCCAAAUGUUGUGAGGAGGAACUGGACUUUAGGGCUGUGGUGAUGGACGAGGUGGUGCUGACAAUCGAGCAAGGAAACCUGGGUCUGCGGAUCAAUGGAGAGCUAAUCACUGCCUACCCACAAGUUGUAGUAGUCAGAGUACCAACCCCGUGGGUGCAAAGUGAUAGUGACAUUACUGUUUUGCGCCAUCUAGAGAAGAUGGGAUGCCGGUUGAUGAACCGACCUCAAGCCAUCUUGAACUGCGUUAAUAAGUUCUGGACAUUUCAAGAGUUGGCUGGCCGUGGUGUACCUCUGCCAGAUACUUUCUCUUACGGUGGCCAUGAAAAUUUUGCUAAAAUGAUUGAUGAAGCAGAAGUACUGGAGUUCCCAAUGGUAGUAAAGAAUACGCGGGGUCAUAGAGGUAAAGCUGUUUUCUUGGCUCGAGAUAAGCACCAUUUGGCCGAUCUAAGCCAUCUUAUUCGCCACGAAGCGCCAUACCUGUUCCAGAAGUAUGUUAAGGAGUCUCAUGGACGGGAUGUACGUGUCAUUGUCGUGGGAGGCCGUGUGGUCGGCACCAUGUUGCGUUGUUCAACAGAUGGGAGAAUGCAAAGCAACUGCUCAUUAGGUGGUGUGGGGAUGAUGUGCUCAUUGAGUGAACAAGGGAAGCAGCUAGCUAUCCAGGUGUCUAAUAUCCUGGGGAUGGACGUGUGUGGCAUUGACCUGUUGAUGAAAGAUGACGGCUCCUUCUGCGUCUGUGAGGCCAAUGCAAAUGUAGGUUUCAUCGCCUUUGAUAAGGCUUGUAAUCUAGAUGUAGCUGGUAUCAUAGCAGACUAUGCCGCCUCCCUUCUACCCUCUGGCCGGCUCACCCGGCGUAUGUCCCUGCUCUCCGUGGUGUCCACGGCCAGUGAGACUAGUGAGCCGGAGCUGGGUCCCCCAGCCAGCACUGCUGUUGACAACAUGAGUGCAAGUUCCAGCUCUGUUGACAGCGACCCUGAAAGCACGGAGCGAGAGCUGCUCACCAAGCUCCCAGGGGGCCUGUUCAACAUGAACCAGCUGCUAGCCAAUGAAAUCAAACUACUGGUGGACUGACUCCACUGGUAAUUAACCAACAAAACCCUUGUAAACCUUUCUUUCUUUUUUUCUUUUCUAUUUUUAAAACCAACUUGCAAUGCUGUUCAUGGAGGAUGCUCAGGAAGAUGAGAGUAAAUUAGUAGGAUUAGUUGGAGGCAGUGGGAGAUAGAAGGGACUUCUGCUAAUAAGAUGUUACUUUCAGUUACAAUUCCUACAAAUAGAGAGGCAGAAUAGGUGGGAUAUAGAAAAAUGUUAGGCUCUCAUAGUUACCCUUUUAAAUUGCUAAAAAAAUUUGUAUGCUCAUAGGCCGUGAGGAACAUAUACUUUUAUUUUUAUGGUUCCUUUUGUUUUUGUACAAAAAAUGAUUUUGCCACAAAUAUCCAAGUAGCAUAACCUCACAUUGUGUUGCAAAAUUUGUCAUCAGUGAGGAAAACAUCUGCCUAAAUUACAGGAAUUCUUGUAUUAUACAGCUCUGAAAAUUCUGCCAUUUCCUUAUUAGUAGCUUUAGUUUGUAGUUUAUGAAGUCUUGAGGGGCUCCUUUACUGGGAUUUCUUAUUUUUGUGUUUUGUUUUUUCCCCCUUAAUUUGGUGGGAGGGUCAAAGUGAAUAUAACCUAAUAAAGGCUUCUUAAUGACAAAAUUGGCAUGUUUGCAUGAUGAAAUGGAAAUGAACAGUAUUGCAAUGUCCGGUAUACAAAAUAACAUUUAUUCAAUGUAGAUAAAAUUACACUAGUUUAAAAUGUGCAUUGACUUGUAUUUGUUAGUGUUUUAGUCUUUUAUGUGCUCUGUUAAUGUUGCUUUUUUUUUUUUUUAAUACAUGCUAGUCUAACAUUUCGUGCUCUAUGCCUGCAUCUUUAACAAUGGCCAAAGUGAAGAAAAUGCUACCUUUUUUGUUAACAAGACUUGAAAUGUGUACAUUUAAAGCCUUUUACUUUCUCCCUUUUUCUUUUGGUGGUUGGGCAUUUAAAUAAGGAGAAGGAAAAAUAUUUUUGGGGGCAAAUCAAGAGCCUAUAUGAGUUCUAAGUUUAAAGCUGAAGUGAUUUCUAAUGCCAGCGUUAUAUAUUUGCGUUUUUCACAUUUUAGAGGGAGUAUAUAUGUAUGUGUGUGCACGCAUGCAUGUGUAUGUGUUUUGCUUUUUGUUUACAUCAACUAAUCAAAAAGGAUAAUUUAGAAAAUGGAGCAUGAUGGAAACAGUUUUUGACUUUAAAAAAACAGAUGAGUUGUUUUCAUAAGUAGACUCCACUGGGGUAGAGGUAUUCACCUUAAAACAUAGGGUGAAUAGAUGCUUUUUAGGCCUUUUUGUGUAUGUGUAUGUUGUUUUUUUCCUUUUGUUUCUAAACUGUUCAUUGUAUGAUUUAUUCAAGGCUACAUGCUUUUCUUUAAUGCUUCUGGCUAUGCAUUUUCUCUUUUUACAUACAGGAGUUGGGAUUGGGGGUGAGUUGGAUGUUUUUGUUUGGGGACUUAUUUAGUAGUAUUGAGUCUCUUAUAGCCCUACUCUUUAGCCUUCAAUACUGUCCACUCUUUAUAUUUCUUUACUUUCAGAAUUUAUAAAAGCCCCCAAACUGCAUACAAUUUGAGCCUUUAAAACAUGGGUAAAACUAAUCCCCCUGAUGGGUGUGGAUGGUAUGUUAAGAAAUGGCGAUGCUGCAGAGCCCAGUGUAAUUUUUUAAACAGCAAGUCCCAUCUCCCUACAAAUCCUCUGAAGCUUUUCCCCAAGCCCUUUCUUGCCUCUCCAGUGCUAUUUUCCAUCAGAUGGACCUUAAGCAUAAUUUCUUGGACACUACUAGAGAGACUUCGAGGCAAUAAUAAAAGAUCAGUAUUAACCACCUAUAACAGAGGUUUGAUCAUGCUUACUGUACAGUUUUUCCCCCGUUUUAAAAAGGAAUGUAAUAAAAUUGUUUUUUCCAUAGAAUUAAAUAAUAUUAAAAUUGAGUGAAAGGUUGAUUGUUGAUGAAUAGAAUAGUACCUCUCAUCUGUGCAGUGUCUCAUUUCACCUCAGAGAAAAGGAUACGUAAGAGGAGUUUGUCAUUUAUCUUAGGGUAUUCUAAUUGCAUUUAAAACAGCUUAUCUUGCACAGGGUAAUUGGGGGACUCACAUACAUAUAUUAGUAUCUCUGACUCAUUAACAGAAAGAAAUACUUGGUACUUCUUUCACUGAAUGACCAUACUGUGGAGGACGCAUACUAUUUGGUAUAGAGAAAUAAAUGAGGAAGAAAGAACUGCCUAGUUAAACUAUCAUUCAUAUGUUCACGUAGAGGCCAUCUGGUUGCCAUGUGUAUUAUAACACAUACACUUUGAAUAGUUAUAUAUCAUAGGUAUGUAGAUUAAUACAUUUAAAAACAACCUCUUUAUUCAAUGAAAAUUUCAAGUUUGUGUUGGUGGGUAAGGCAUCAGGAAAAAUGUAGUAAGCCAUCUUUUAACUCAUACCAAAUUAACCAACUAUAUUAUAGGAAAUAUGUGAAAUUAGUUCAUUAGUUUUAUUCACUAUCUAUUAUGCAUUCACGUAAUACUAAAACACAGCUUUCGCAACCAGUUUCUGGAUUAUACUCUCACAUGUUAGAAAGAAAAGAACAGUAGUUAUCAUCUUAGAUUUUAAAAACAUGGAUAUCUUCUUGAAUUCCUUCAAAAUUAAGGUAAAGAAUAAGAGCAAAUCAUUCUGGAAGGACCCUAAGGAAACAGCAGCAGAUAUUUAGGUGAAAAUUAAAUUUAUUUUCAUAAUUGUUUAAUAACUUUUGUAUAAUCUUCAUUGCUAUUAUGAGAGAUAAAAUGUAUUUAUCAAAUAUGUAUAAUGAUAAAAUCUGAAUUGUAAAAUUUUUGUAUAUUGUUAAAAUUGUAAUUCUAAAUUGUACUUCAAAAAUAAUUAUUUCUGAUUGUAUUUAUGUCACCCAUCAUGAAAACUGGACUCUAUAUAUACAUCUAAACAUAUAAGUAUGAACUAUUCUAGUUAAAAUUUUUAAUAGUUUUUUUUCUUUUUUGGUGCCUAUAAUUUCUGCUGGCUUUUCUCCAAUGAACAUUGAAAUCUUUCUGUAUGUGUUAUCAAUAAGAAAACUACCCUGGAACAUUAGAAAAACCCAACAAGAGACUUGGCUUUCAUCAAGCACAUUAUCAGACUUUGAGAAGAUAUUGAAGGCAUUGACUUUGAAAAUCAUCUCUUUUUCUCAAGAAGAAAGCAGUGGAGAAGCAAAUUUGCUUCAUUCAGUGAAUCCCCAGUUUGGGGGUUGGGGGGCUUAGAGACAUUGUAAAAUCAAAUCUUGUGUUAUAUUUUUCUCCUGGCUCACUUUUUUUGAGAAGGUUUAUGGGCUAUUUGGCUGGUGAGACACGAUCCCCUCCUAAGAAAAUGUAGGUGCUCAGACAGGUAACCUCUGCUGCUACUGUUUUUAUUUGUUUGUUUGUUUAAUUUUAUUUAAGAUUUGUUUUUGUUGUACUAGGAUUUUUUAAAAUGUAAUAUAUUGCAGGAUUUAUAACCAGGUUCACUGACUGCUUGCUUGCUUUCUUUUUCUUUUUCUUUUUUUUUUUGUUAAAACAAAACAAAACAAAGUUUCAUUUAAAAUACAUUUAGGCACCUUUGGAGCUUGGAUUUUGGAAUGUUUCAGUAGUGGACAGAAAUCUGCUGUUGGAAUCUUCUAGUCUUCCAGGUUUAAUUUGAAAUGUUUUUAGUUUUGUUUUGGAUUUUUGUGUGGCAUUUUAUUUCCUUUAUAUCAAUGCCAUUUUGCCAUGCUGUUUUGGGGUGGCUGCCUAACUCUAGUGAAAAUUCUUUUCUAUAUUAACGAAAGUUUGGCCUUUGAAAAUCCUUAAUGUUUUGCAUUUUUUACAUUGUUUUUAAAGAAAUAUUCUAACUGCUUGCACUGUUACUGUUCUUUACCAGCCUUUUCAGGAGCCAAAAAAACAAAUACAAACAAACAAAAAAAUACCCAGAGAAAAAACUUUCCUUCUUCCCCCUUCCUGAUGAUGAGUGAGAAGUAUUGAGAACUUUCGGGGUCAUUGCCCUUCUAAACUCCCCUUCCCCCAAUAAUGCAGCUGUAUAAUGAAUGGUAAAUGCACCGGUUUGGAUUCAGGCACAGCCCAGCCUGCUUGCAGGUAAUUUAACUCUUUCUCCUUUCUUUCCAUCACUAGGCUAAUUUUCUUUUUUAAAAAACUUCUCCUCCUUUGUAUGCUUUAAAAAGUAACCAUGGGUUUGUCAUAAAUCUCAAUUAAAAAUAAAUAAAUCUAGCAAAUGAUAUGAUUAAAGGAGAGCUUUUGGGGGUAAAGUUUGACUUGGUUACGAUAUACUCAGGACUUUCUUGGAAUUUUGUUUAGCCAUUUAGAUGACUCCAUUUCUUGAAUAUAUGUCUAUAAUUAAAUAUUUCAGAGUGUGAAUUUUUUGGCUUUGUUUUUGUUUUGGGUUUAUUUGUUUCUUCCAUUGUGCUACUCUGGCUUAAGCUUUUUCAGGGGUUGGUGUUCCGAAUACACAGUGAGCUCACAGUAUAAAGACAUCAAUUAGGAGUUGACAGGUAUGGAAAACUAGAGUUUUGAAAGGUAAAAUCAGGUUCUAGGUUAUAUAUAUGGUAAAAACCCAACAUAGCAUUUGUUUUACCUUAGUGCUUCUCUUUCUGUGACAUUAUAAAAGUGGAAGGGGUUAAUAAGACAAAGAGAAUACAAAACAUUUUAGUUCUUUUAGGAGGAAUGUGAUUUCAGAACUAAUCAUUUUGGCGGUUCUAAGAUACUAGUUCUAACAAGGAGAUGUGAGCAGUUUGAGAUGAUCAGAAAAUCAUGGUUUAAACAUUCAAAAUUACAGGUUUGAACAGAUAGGAGGGCAUUUCUGAGGUACAAGAUGGCUAAGCACAUUAACCAAGGACAUAAAUUGUCAGGGAUAGGACUGUACACCUUGUCCAUUUUAGUAGCCUUUCUGUUAGGUAAUAAAGUAAACUAUCCUCUCCACUGUCUUUAUGCCAGUCUACCUACCCUUUCUUCUUUUCUCCUAUCCUUUCUAAAGUUUUAGCUCUGAGCUUUUGCUAUUUUGGGGUAUUAUCAUCUUUCUAAUAGGUAGAAUUUUAGUGAGAGUAGUCAGGACCUUUUCAAGAUAUACUUCUGCAUAAUUUCAUCCUGUGGCUUCAGACGUACUAUCCAAACAGGCUGUACGUCCAGUGAGUCACUAGUUAGUGAACAGGAAGUCUUGGCUUGUAAUGCUAUUUCUGUAGCUGAAGGAAGACAUGUGAUCAGUGAUUAACCUGUUCUGUGCUUCAGUUGACUCUUAAAAGGACAGUCAUUCCCCUUAAGGAUCUUACGACAAAGAUAUUUAUCUGUUGGAUUGGAAUUUACUAACAAAGGGGUCCCAGCUGCACUCAAGCAAGAAUUUGUGAUGUAUACUUUAAAAAAAAAAAAGCCUUAUUCAGGAGAGCCUUGUUCUCUUGCUGAUAUGAAUGACUCACACUAGAGUAUACAAACUAUGUGAUUGUAUAAGGCACGGAGAGUUUAACCACCUCUGGUCAGCUGCCUGUCUGAAUACCACUGACUUGUUAAGAAUGAUCUUGCGUUUAGAUUUUACCAUAUUCAUACUUACUAGGUGAGCCUUAUAUAGCAUAUAUACCUGGCUGCUAUUGUGGGGUUUGGGAACAUGAGGGGUGGGUGAACUGUUGUUGUUUUAGGUUUCAGUCAGACAGACAUCCCUGUGCCUCAGUUCCCAGAAGCACAGCAGGCCUCUAGGAGCAUCCGUGGGAACGGCGCAGUCCUGACAUCACCAACUCUCCUGCUCAGGCUCAUCCCAUAUACAGAGGUCAAAGGGUGGGGUUUGAGACUGGGGGAAGGAAUGAGAAAGUAGAAGCAACGUCACUGCAGCGCCACUGUUGACUAGUCUUUGGUGCUUCUGUCAGUGUUUGUUUUAUUUCCUGAUUUUUUUAAGUUGGCAAAACUGUGCAUAUUUUUAUCUUGAUGAAGGCAGUGGGAGGGUGGAACAAAAACAAGACAUUACUGCUAUUUGUAGUUCAUUACCAGAGAUUGUCCCUUAACAACUAAUAAAGAAUAAAUUUGGAACGUAGACUUAGAUGACAAAAAGAAUGGGAAUAGAAAUGAAUCCAAGGAUUUUUUUUUUUCCUUGUCCUAACAUAGUGGCAGAGCCAAAGUAGAAUCCCAGGAUUUUAACAAACAGAAGACAUUUAUGCUGUGUCAAUCCCCACUUCUACAACUGCUAUUGUAUUUGUCAUUCUGUCUCCCCUUUUCCCCUAAUUCUUUUAUGUAUGUAUAGUUUGAGGAAAUGUGCAUUUACGGUCAGUCCUUUUUAGAGGACUUAAUGAAUUUAUUACUCUUUUGCAAAAAAUAUACCUACUGCUUAUAUGGGCAUACAAAUGCUACCCUAUUUUAAAUGUAGGUGGCGUAUGUGUUCGUGUUUUAAUGUAUUCAGAGCCUUGGGCAAUAAGCAGUCCAGAACAUUGAAAACUCAAGCAGGUAAAGCACCUAACACCCUUAGUUUCUAGAGUUACUUUAAAAAACUUUUACAUUGCUGCAUCUUCCACAGUUCUUGGGUAGUCUCUGAACUUAAAAUUUGUAGGAGUUGUAGACUGCCUACUUCAAAUGUUAAGUUAUAGUGUUUCUUCAUAGAUUGUAGGAGUAGGUAAAGAAGGAAACAGAAAAGAAAAUGGCUUCUUGAGAUGGCAACUGCUGAGUGGCUAAAUUUUUCCACUUCUUUUCUUUUUACUUUUUUUUGUAAAUUUUCCUAGCUUAGCAUGAAUAUUAAUCAUACAGUGUUUGAUUUUCUGUGAUUGGGAUUUUUGUUUUUGAUUUUUGGAGGGAAGGUCUUGGAGAAACAUUAAAAAGUUGGUAUAUAUGCAAAAAUACAAAAUGUUAAACAAAGUAAUGUUUUCUAUUUAAUCUAAAUGGUAAGCAGUAAUUUUUUCUAUAUACCCUUCUGCUGCAGCAGAGAAUUAAACUGGUAGGUGGCAGCAGAGGAAGGAAUUCUUCAGAUUGAUGGCUACUGACUUAAAAUCUGCCUAGGAGAAGAGAGAGAGCGUGACAUACCAACCGAAGCAAGGGGGCAAAAAUGGAAGCAGGAUUAGGAUUCCUGGAUUGUGACUCUAAAUGGUUCUUUUGAAGUAAACAGGAUCUUUUUUGCUUACCCUCACUAACAGAAUGGAUGAAGAUAGAUUUGACUAUGUGCUUUUUCAAGUGGAGAAUAUGAAUAUACAGAACAAGAAAGCAAUAACUCUAAUCUGUUUGAUUCAAUCUGUUUUCUAAAAUAAAGAUACCAUGCACUGCAAAUAA